AAUGGAGAGUCCGAUGGCCGACCACAGCGAGUAGCGUCCUCCCACCCACUAGGAGAGACAGGACAAGGUGCUGAGGGAGGGCCGGCACACCCCGCCCCCCACCUCCUGCCGGAAACCCUGUCCCUGGUCUUGCACAGGGGCGUCUCGGAGGGCCCUGGCCCAACCCACCUCCAGGAAGCAAGGCAGCAGGCAGGUGCUGGCAACACAUGGGAAGACCAACAGGGCAGACUACAGAUGACUGACCACAGCCACAAGACAAACUGAAGAGCUUACCGUGGUCUUCCCUGAGAUGUCGGGCCCUGUCUCUGCAGACACCAGCAGACCCAGGACCUCAUACCUGUGCCAGGGCCCACCUCCUCAGACACGGACACACCCAGGGCCUCAUACCUGCGCCAGGGCCCACCUCCUCAGACACGGACAGACCCCAGGCCUCAUACCUGUGCCAGGGCCCACCUCCUCAGACACGGACACACCCAGAUCCUCAUACUCAUACCAGAUCCUACCUCCUCAGAUAGAUGCAGAUCCUCUUACCAGUGCCAGAUCCUACCUCCUCAGACAUUAACAGACCCAGAUCCUCACACCUGUACCAGAUCCUACCUUCUCAGACAUUGAAAGACCCAGAUCCUUAUACCAGAUCCUACCUCCUCAGAUACUGACAGACCCAGAUCCUCAUACCAGGGCCAGAUCCUACCUCCUCAGACAUGGACAGACCCAGAUCCUCAUACCAGGACCCGAUCCCACCUCCUCAGAUACUGAUGGACACAGAUCCUCAUACUUGUACCCAGCCUCACUUCCCCAGACACUAGAAGACUCAGGGCUUCAUACCUGUGCCAGAUGCUAUCUCCUCAGGCACUGGAAGCCCAAGGGCCUCAAACCUGAGUCCAAACUCACCUCCUCAAACACUGGAAGACGCAGAUCCUCAUAUCUGUGCCAGGUGCUACCUCCUCAGACAUGGAAGACCCAUAUCCUCAUACCUGUACCAGAUCCUACCUCCUCACACACUGGAAGACCCAGAUGUCAUACCUGUACUUAGCCCACCUCCUUGGAUACCUCUU
rnacentral:lncRNA from 1 species